UAAUAACGUAUUUUACGUAAUAUUAUGCAAUAUUGACGCUUUAUUAAAUUCCUCGUCGCAACAUUCAAUCGAGAAAGUUCAUUUCUCAGUUACGUCGAUCCAACGUUAAAUUACCUGCCAAAUAGGUGAAUAUCGCGAAAUCAGCGUAAUAUUACCGCCACCAUCAGUGAUAUCGCUCCAUAAUGCAUGCUUCAAAUGUCAACAAAGCCGGCAGUCAGUCAGUCCAGUUUUCACUCCAUUCUGUUCGCAUCGGAAUACAAUUAUCAUUUGAAUAAUAUUUAUUAGUUUAAUUGCUUUUAAAAUACUAAAUUAAUUCGUUAGAAAGUGAGUGAAAUGUGACAACAGUGUUUCCGAGACCUGGAAUUGUGAGCAAAUCUGUUAAUGGAGAGGCAAAUGUCGAAAGGAUGCUAUGGAGCUGCAGAAUUCGUUUAUACCCAAAAGGAGCCGGCAUUGUAAACUGGAUGUGUGCAGAUUCAAAAUCGCCAUCGGAUAAUCGACCGAGUAACCGAUCUCUCUGUAAUCAGACGUCAGUCUUUCCUGCAGAGCCAAGCUAUCGAGAUCGUGCACCCUUAUAACCAAAAAACUAUUUCUAUUUCGAAUUUUUUCGAACGGAUCAAAAUCAGGAAAAAUGAAACCGCGCAGGUACGGAACAAAUUGUCGGGUUCAUGGUCCCACCUACUAUCCCGUACAAGAGCAAUCAGAUGACUGAGACUAACGGAAGUAGUUGCGAAGCAAUGCAAACAUGCGGUGACUUGUGGGAAGACGAACAAUGCAGUCACGACCGGACCUGCAUCAUAUGGCUGCAACAUUGGAGAUUAAAAUAAACGUAUGUAACU